CAAUAGCGUAUAUUUAAGUUGUUGCAGUUAAAAAGCUCGUAGUUGGAUUUCGGGUAGGAUUUGCCGGUCCGUCUUUGAGAUGUGUACUGGUAAGUCCUAUCUUCUUGUCGGGGACCAGCUCCUGGGCUUCACUGUCCGGGACUGGGAGCCGACGAAGUUACUUUGAGUAAAUUAGAGUGUUCAAAGCAAGCCUACGCUCUGAAUAUAUUAGCAUGGAAUAACACGAUAGGACUCUGGCUUAUCUUGUUGGUCUGUGAGACCAGAGUAAUGAUUAAGAGGGACAGUCGGGGACAUUCGUAUUUCAUUGUCAGAGGUGAAAUUCUUAGAUUUAUGGAAGACGAACAUCUGCGAAAGCAUUUGCCAAGGAUGUUUUCAUUGA
rnacentral:rRNA from 1 species